UCCCUGGCAGUCCAGUGGUUAGGACUUGGUACUUUCACUGCUGUGGCCUAGGUUCAAUUCUUGGCUGGGGAA
rnacentral:tRNA from 1 species